rnacentral:ncRNA from 1 species
UUUUCAUUAAUCAAGAACGAAAGUCAGAGGUUCGAAGACGAUCAGAUACCAUCGUAGUUCCGACCAUAAACGAUGCCGACUGGCGAUCCGGCGGGGGUAUUUCCAUGACCCGCCGGGCAGCUCCCGGGAAACCCAAGUCUUUUGGUUCCGGGGGGAGUAUGGUUGCAAAGCUGAAACUUAAAGGAAUUGACGGAAGGGCACCACCAGGAGUGGAGCCUGCGGCUUAAUUUGACUCAACACGGGAAACCUCACCCGGCCCGGACACGGACAGGAUUGACAGAUUGAGAGCUCUUUCUCGAUUCCGUGGGUGGUGGUGCAUGGCCGUUCUUAGUUGGUGGAGCGGUUAAUUCCGAUAACGAAUUAAGCGCGCCCUCCCUCCAUUCCCUCCGCUGCGCGGUGGAGGUUUUGGACUUGCGACCUCAGAUCAGACGUGGCGACCUGCUGAAUUUAAGCAUAUUAGUCAGUGGAGGAAAAGAAACUAACGAGGAUUCCCUCAGUAACGGCGAGUGAAGAGGGAAGAGCCCAGCGCCGAAUCCCCGCCCCACGGUGGGGCACGGGACAUGUGGCGUACAGAAGCCCCCCUCCCCAGCGGCGCUCUCGGGGGACAC